UGGGGGAUCGUCUAACUGGCAGGACAGCUGGCUCUGGACCAGCCGGUUGGGGUUCAAAUCCCUAUCCCCCAG
rnacentral:tRNA from 1 species